GUCUACUGUCAUUGGAAUCCACCUCCCUCGCCAGAAAAUCAUUCGACCACCUCUUCAAUAAAUAGAUCUCCUUCCUCCCUACCGUGGCGAGUGACAAUGAUACCAGCCUGAACCAAGGCGUCCAGUCAAAUGAAAGAUCGACAUUGGAAGACCACCAAAAACUCAUGUGUGAUUCCCACACGCCAACCAUUGUGCAUGGCUUUCAGAAUUUUGAUACCUUCUGUUUACCAAUUCAAAUCUGUUUGACUUAAUCAAAUUCAACUAC
rnacentral:lncRNA from 1 species